rnacentral:rRNA from 1 species
AGAUUGAACGCUGGCGGCAUGCCUAACACAUGCAAGUCGAACGGGAGUAGCAAUACUCUAGUGGCGGACGGGUGAGGAAUACGUAGGAAUUUGCCCUUAAGUGGGGGAUAACCCGGGGAAACCCGGAUUAAUACCGCAUGACCUCGAAAGAGCAAAGUGGGGAUCGCAAGACCUCACGCUUUUGGAGAAGCCUACGUCGGAUUAGCUAGUUGGUGAGGUAAUGGCUCACCAAGGCGACGAUCCGUAACUGGUCUGAGAGGAUGAUCAGUCACACCGGAACUGAGACACGGUCCGGACUCCUACGGGAGGCAGCAGUGGGAAUAUUGGACAAUGGGCGCAAGCCUGAUCCAGCAAUGCCGCGUGUGUGAAGAAGGCCUUCGGUCGUAAAGCACUUUAAGUUGGGAAAGAAAAACUCGACUACUAACAACAGUGUAGUACUUGACGGUACCGAACAAGAAUAAGACAACCGUACAACUCUAGUGACCAGCACGACCC